UGGCUGGGGUGGGGAGGAGGUGCAGGGCCUGGUCAGAGCGGGCAUGGCCACAGGCAGGAGACAGCGACUGCUUGGUCCGGGGCAGGUGAGCGCAGCGCAGGCCAGGGCCCUACCUGUCCACGGUGCGCGCGAGCGGCCAGCAGAGGGCGCCAGAGGACCACGAGCGGCCCGCGGAGGAGUCCGCGCCGGCCCCGAUGCCCAGCUCCGCGCCGCGCGGACCCACCGAGCCCGCGCUCAGACGCCCCAGCUCCGCCGAGAGGCCGCUCGCUCCGGGUCCUUCCUCUUCCCCAGGUGCAGGCAGAGCCCCCGGGGCCAUGGCCAGCCCUUCCGGCAGCUCCGAAGCCCCUGGCAAGCCCCGAGGCAGGGAUGGCCGGCCCAGGAGGGAGGAGGACGACGUCCCUCCCGAAGAGAAGAGGCUGCGGCUCUUGCUGGAGGGGGGAAGCGCACAGCCCCAGGACUGCGAGGACGGGCAGGACGCGCCGCGGUCGGCCAGGAAGGAGACCGGCACCCAGACAGGUGGCGACGGCAGAGGAGAAGGAAAAUACCCGUACAGCCAACUUCCUUGAGGGUUCGUUCUUUUGCAUCAGGGUGUCUCAAACUCCUGCCCUUAAAACACCUGCAAGAGAAUCAUCUAGGUGGCUUGCUCGCUCUGCAUGCAGACCCUUUAGAAUCAGAGUCAGAAUACCUGGGGCUGGAGCCACAAAAUGAAAUGACAUUUCAACAAGUUUGUCAUCACGUAAGAGAGAAUAGAUAACUUCACUCUUCUCUGCAACGAAUCCC
rnacentral:lncRNA from 1 species